GGGGGGAGGGGGGGGGGGGAGGGGAGAGAAUUAGACCAACUACAGGAUUGGAACAGAAACAAUCGUGGAACAUAUUCUGGUCUGGUUUCAUAAUAAUGGACAGUUAGUCAGACAACUUGUCCUUAUGCUGAAACAGCCACAUGAGGGGGUCCAUGGAGAGUCAAGAUCAGCGGUUGCCUUCUCCGUCCCGGGGUCACCAUCAGAAACACGUUAGGACAACCGAAACCUAGAUUUUGUUGUACAUAAAAUAUCUUGGUGGUACUGUUCCCACCAGGUUACUGUUCCCACCAGGUUACUGUUCCCACUAUGUUACUGUUCCCACCAGGUUACUGUUCCCACCAGGUUACUGUUCCCACCAGGUUACUGUUCCCACCAGGUUACUGUUCCCACUAUGUUACUGUUCCCACCAGGUUACUGUUCCCACCAUGUUACUGUUCUCACCAGGUUACUGUUCCCACUAUGUUACUGUUCCCACUGUGUUACUGUUCCCACUAUGUUACUUUUCCCACCAGGUUACUGUUCCCACUAUGUUACUGUUCCCACCAGGUUACUGUUCCCACUAUGUUACUGUUCUCACCAGAUUACUGUUCCCACUAUGUUACUGUUCCCACCAGGUUACUGUUCCCACUAUGUUACUGUUCCCACCAGGUUACUGUUCCCACUAUGUUACUGUUCCCACUAUGUUACUGUUCCCACCAGGUUACUGUUCCCACCAGGUUACUGUUCCCACCAGGUUACUGUUCCCACCAGGUUACUGU
ensembl:lncRNA